GCCGAGCUCAUUAGCGGGGAGCUUGUAACCCGAGCGGGGGCAACAGGGUGGGUUCGGACGUUUGGUGGUGUUGUUGGGUCUGGGCUGCAGCUGUGCGAGGGGCUGGCCCGCCCGGUCCAAGUUGGGUAGUGGGCCAUGUGGGCCCAGGCGGAGGCUUGGGUCAAGUGGGCCCUGAAGUGGAGGAUAUUGCGUGAGGCUGGCUUCACAGAGCUGCGAACACCUCCCGCUCUCAACGGUGGACGGAUUACGGGCCGCCGCAUUCUGAGUUCAAUAUGGCCCAGAGGCCCACUCAAAUGGACACCCACUUUU
rnacentral:SRP_RNA from 1 species